UCAUGAUGAACACCUAGAUGACGAGUCUUAUCGGGGUUUCCCAUGCAGACAACAUUUUUUUUAAUACCAUUCAUGCAUACCUGAUC
rnacentral:snoRNA from 1 species